rnacentral:rRNA from 1 species
CAGCUCCUACGGGACGCAGCAGUAGGGAAUCUUCCACAACGGGCGAAAGCCUGAUGGAGCAACGCCGCGUGGGUGAAGAAGGUCUUCGGAUCGUAAAACCCUGUUGUUAGAGAAGAAAGUGCGUGAGAGUAACUGUUCACGUUUCGACGGUAUCUAACCAGAAAGCCACGGCUAACUACGUGCCAGCAGCCGCGGUAAUACGUAGGUGGCAAGCGUUAUCCGGAUUUAUUGGGCGUAAAGGGAACGCAGGCGGUCUUUUAAGUCUGAUGUGAAAGCCUUCGGCUUAACCGGAGUAGGGCAUUGGG